GUAGGUGGCAAGCGUUGUCCGGAAUCAUUGGGCGUAAAGCGCGCGCAGGCGGUUCUUUAAGUCUGAUGUGAAAGCCCACGGGCUCAACCGUGGAGGGUCAUUGGAAACUGGAGAACUUGAGUACAGAAGAGGAAAGCGGAAUUCCACGUGUAGCGGUGAAAUGCGUAGAGAUGUGGAGGAACACCAGUGGCGAAGGCGGCUUUCUGGUCUGUAACUGACGCUGAGGCGCGAAAGCGUGGGGAGCAAACAGGAUUAGAUACCCUGGUAGUCCACGCCGUAAACGAUGAGUGCUAAGUGUUAGGGGGUUUCCGCCCCUUAGUGCUGCAGCUAACGCAUUAAGCACUCCGCCUGGGGAGUACGGCCGCAAGGCUG
rnacentral:rRNA from 1 species